rnacentral:rRNA from 1 species
GGCAGGCCUAACACAUGCAAGUCGAGCGGUAGCGGGAAGAGCUUGCUCUUUGCCGACGAGCGGCGGACGGGUGCGUAACACGUAGGAAUCUGCCUGGUAGUGGGGGAUAGCCCGGAGAAAUCCGGAUUAAUACCGCAUACGCCCUAUGGGGGAAAGCAGGGGAUCUUCGGACCUUGCGCUAUCAGAUGAGCCUGCGUCGGAUUAGCUUGUUGGUGGGGUAAAGGCCUACCAAGGCGACGAUCCGUAGCUGGUCUGAGAGGAUGAUCAGCCACACUGGGACUGAGACACGGCCCAGACUCCUACGGGAGGCAGCAGUGGGGAAUAUUGCACAAUGGGCGAAAGCCUGAUGCAGCCAUGCCGCGUGUGUGAAGAAGGCCCUAGGGUUGUAAAGCACUUUCAGUGGGGAGGAAAGGGAGACUGCUAAUACCAGUUUCCUGUGACGUUACCCACAGAAGAAGCACCGGCUAACUCCGUGCCAGCAGCCGCGGUAAUACGGAGGGUGCGAGCGUUAAUCGGAAUUACUGGGCGUAAAGCGUGCGUAGGCGGCCUUUUAAGUUGGAUGUGAAAGCCCCGGGCUUAACCUGGGAACUGCAUCCAAAACUGGAAGGCUUGAGUGCGAGAGAGGAGUGUGGAAUUUCCUGUGUAGCGGUGAAAUGCGUAGAUAUAGGAAGGAACACCAGUGGCGAAGGCGACACUCUGGCUUGACACUGACGCUGAGGUACGAAAGCGUGGGGAGCAAACAGGAUUAGAUACCCUGGUAGUCCACGCCGUAAACGAUGUCUACUAGUUGUCGGUGGUCUUGUACUGCUGGUAACGCAGCUAACGCGAUAAGUAGACCGCCUGGGGAGUACG